AGGUCUUGGAAAGGAUGAGCAGGGUAUGUUUGGAACCUUGAUGUUCACUGCAAAAUUGAUUUUGAUAUGUGACUUCUCUGCUGGUAGCAUUGUCUUGGAACUCUUUUAUAUGCUUUUAUAUUCAAUCUUCUAUUUUGUGAUGGGGGGCAUGUUUCUUCAAUCCAACAAACCACACUCUCAGGGAGUGUGGUGUUCUGUCCAGCAGUGU
rnacentral:misc_RNA from 1 species